rnacentral:tRNA from 1 species
GCCGGGGUGGUGAAAUGGUAGACACGCCAGCCUUAGGAGCUGGUGGGAGCAAUCCCGUGGAGGUUCAAAUCCUCUCCCCGGCA